AUGGGUGGUAAAUUUCCAUCUAAAGCUAAAUUUUGGUGGGAGACCGAUAGCGCACAAGUAGAGUGAUCGAAAGAUGAAACAGCACUUUGAAAAUAGAGUUAACAAGUGCGUGAAAUUGUUGAAAGGGAAGCGCUUGAGACCAGACUUCAGUAGGGAGUGAUCAGCCGUCCUUCUGGGCGGUGCACUUGCUCCCCUCCGGGCCAGCAUCGGUUGGGGCGGCGGGAUAAAGGUCCCGGGAAUGUGGCUCCUCUCGGGGAGUGUUAUAGCCCGGGUGAAUGCCGCCAGCCUCGACCGAGGACCGCGCCUUCGGGCCAGGAUGCUUGGCAUAAUGGUCUUCAGCGACCCGUCUUGAAACACGGACCAAGGAGUCUAACAUCUAUGCGAGUGUUUGGGUGUCAAACCCUUGCGCGAAAUGAAAGUGAACGGAGGUGGGARCCCCCAAGGGCGCACCAUCGACCGGUCCUGAAGUCUUCUGAAGGAUCUGAGUAGGAGCAUAGCUGUUGGGACCCGAAAGAUGGUGACCUACGCCUGAAUAGUGAACUCUGGUGGAAGCUCGCAGCAUACGUGCAAAUCGAUCGUCACUAUUCGGUAUAUGAG
rnacentral:rRNA from 1 species